ACACGCUGGCGGGUGCUUACACAUCCAAGGUCNGUAAGAUGACGGUGGUGCUUGCACCGCCUGAUUAGUGGCGAACGGGUGAGUAACACGUGAGUAACCUGCCCUCCACUUCGGGAUAACCUCGGGAAAUCGUGGCUAAUACCGGAUAUGAGCACUCAUCGCAUGGUGGGUGUUGGAAAGAUUUAUCGGUGGGGGAUGGACUCGCGGCCUAUCAGUUUGUUGGUGAGGUGAUGGCUCACCAAGACGAUGACGGGUAGCCGGCCUGAGAGGGCGACCGGCCACACUGGGACUGAGACACGGCCCAGACUCCUACGGGAGGCAGCAGUGGGGAAUAUUGCACAAUGGGCGAAAGCCUGAUGCAGCGACGCCGCGUGGGGGAUGACGGCCUUCGGGUUGUAAACCCCUUUCAGUACGGGAAGAAGGCGAGAGUGACGGUACCUGCAGAAGAAGCGCCGGGCUAACUACGUGCCAGCAAGCCGCGGGUAAUACGUAGGGCGCAAAGCGUUGUCCCGGAAAUUCAUUGGGGCCGUAAAGGAGCUCGUAAGGUGGCUUGUCCGCGUCUGCCCGUGAAAACCCGAGGCUUCAACNUCGGGGCCGUGCCGGUGGGUCCGGCNAGGCUAACACACUGUGGUAGGGCGCAGACUGGAACUNCCUGG
rnacentral:rRNA from 1 species